GACAGUGAAAUCAAAGAGUGACAAAAAUUGAGAGGAGCAGGAGGAAAUGGAGAGGAGAAGUGGGAAUUUGUGGCUGCUGACAGGAGGGGUGCUGAGACACCAGGGAAAUGCAGAAUUCCUCUUCCUUGGACAACAGAGAACAAAUCUACCUCAGGAUUUGCUUCCCACCCUGCAGGGAGAGCAGGAAAUACCUCCAGCUGAAGUCUGGUGAGAGGGACAACUCUGACUUUGCUGUGGUUUCCUGGGACACCUCACAAGGAAGAACUUGGAAAUCAGCAUUUGAUAGCUUGAAUAUGAACUUCAAUAAAUUGCCUGGAUCUCUGGGAAUUCUUAUUGUGAUAGGGACAAAUAGAUAAGAGCCAUUCUUUUACGAACAGAAAUUCCUACAUUUGUAAUAUUCACCUAAUCUCUUGUGGAUUUUUUAUUUGACUAAAACAAAUCAAUAAAACUUCUUGUUCACAACAAGCUCUGCAAAAACCACCUGUCUUGUGCUGAGUGUGCAUUGAUGGAACAUUGCCUGGCCAGGAUUUUUGUUGCAAAUGGAACCUUCUGUGCUUUCUGUCCAUUCUAUCCACCCAAAGCAGCCAAAAGGAGAUAAGAGCACAGAUUUGAUAUCUGAUCACCACAGAGAUAAGAGGCAUCCCUCCAGGGAAAGCCCCACCAAAGAUAAAGGAUUGCUCUGAUAUUGUCCAGCCUGUUAUUAUCUUAUGGAUGAGUGGGAAAUGCAGUUUGUUCCGUGGGAACACUUUUUUCUACAAUGCUCCCAAUAUUGAGGAGUAAAACACCAAAAAAAAUCAGCAGCAAAGCCUGCCUAGGACACCAUUUCUAGAAUAUUUUGGACCAAACUUUCUUAGCCUAAGGUACCGAUGUUUGCAGUUCUACCCUGACUCUUUAGGGAAAGAUUAAUAAACAGAGCAUGCUGCCCAUAAUUCACUUUUUCUUUAAUGUCAUUAGAAAUAAAUGGACUUUGUUAAGAGUUUCAGUAAAAUAUAGCACUGUCAGCCUUAGGAAAGU